rnacentral:rRNA from 1 species
UACAGAGGUCUCAAGCGUUGUUCGGAUUUAUUGGGCGUAAAGGGCGCGCAGGCGGCCACGCACGUCCGUUGUGAAAUCGCCCGGCUCAACUGGGCGGGGUCAGCGGAUACGGCGUGGCUGGAGCAAGCUAGGGGGCAAUGGAAUUCCCGGUGUAGUGGUGGAAUGCGUAGAUAUCGGGAGGAACACCAGUGGCGAAGGCGGUUGCCUGGAGCUUUGCUGACGCUGAGGCGCGAAAGCGUGGGGAGCGAUCCGG